UACAGAGGGUGCGAACGUUGCUCGGAUUUACUGGGCGUAAAGCGCUUGUAGGCGGGCGAAUGUGUCGGGUGUGAAAUCCCUGAGCUUAACUCAGGAACUGCAUUCGAAACUAUUCGUCUUGAGGAAUUGAGAGGAGAACGGAAUUCCCGGUGUAGAGGUGAAAUUCGUAGAUAUCGGGAGGAACACCAGAUGCGAAGGCGGUUCUCUGGAAAUUAUCUGACGCUGAGAAGCGAAAGCGUGGGGAGCAAACAGG
rnacentral:rRNA from 1 species